UCCGUCAGGCAGCUCUCCAGCCAUUCUUCCCCCAGCCUGUAGGGUUGGCUGGGGUUGCUGUGGGCAAAAUGCAGGACUUGACCCUACGGAAACUCGUACAGUUAACUUUGGCCCAUCGAUCCAGUCUAUCCAGGUCUCUCUGUAGCACCUCAGGCAGAUCAACGCUCCCUCCCAACUUGGUGUCGUCUGCAAACUUAUGGAGGGUGCGCUCAAUCCCCGCAGAAGGUCGUUAGUAAAGGUGUUAAUUAGAAGCGGCCCCAGUACUGAGCCCUGGGGGACACCACUCAUGACAGGCCACCAGUUGGAUUUUACUCCAUUGACCGCAGCUCUUUGGGCCCGGCUGCCUUGCCAGCGUUUCACCCAGCAGAGCGUGCGCCCAUCCAAACCGUGGGCAGCCAGCUUCUCCAUGAGGAUGCUGUGGGGGAGUGGCAAAGGCUUUACUGAAGUCCAGGCAGACCACAUCAACAGCCUCACCUUCACCCACUCAGCGGGUCACCUUGUCAUAGAGUGAAAUCAGGUUUUCACUUUCCUGUUUCCUACUGGCCAAGUACUCCAGGCGUUCAAUCCAUGCAACACAGUUAAUAACUCGUCUUUCCAUAUGAGAGGUACCACCAACCUCACGUUUUCAGGAUCAUUUUGUACAUCUCCAUGCAUACAGGAGAGCAAUAUUUCUUGAAGCUGUUAUGCCUGCUUCCUCCUAUGCCAAGCUUUCCUCACUCUGCUCUGUAUUUUUCCUUCCCUUACUACUUAGAAAGGGCAUAUAUAAGAGUAAACCUACAAUAAAAUAUGUAAAGGCUACUAACCCCAAUUCCUGAUUUAUGAGCCCUAAUAUGUUGUGCUAGCAAGCAUAAAAUUAAUUCUGUAUCUACACUUACUUAGCAGUUUUUCCCUCGCAUAUUCCUUUGCAAAAGCUCACAUUGCUUGUGUUUGAACAUGGUUGGUGUUGCUCAAGCCCUCUGUGUUGAUUUCUUACCCCGGUCCAUGCCCUAGCCUCUGCUCUGAUCUGCUGCUCAGCAUCCUUCUUGCAGCAGCUGCUUUGUAAGAAGGUUACAAGUUCAGUAAAGGCCUAUACCCUGGUAUUAGAAGUUUCUACUGCUGUCACAGAAUAUCUCUAGAUCUGUCCAUGACAGGGGAGCAGCAGGCCCACCAGCCCGAAAAGAAAGAGGGGGGGGGGGGUGUCAAUGGUUUGCGGGGCCUUGGGUGGAUCCCACCUGUCCCCAUGGGCUUGUGACCAUCUAGAUGAAGAAGUUGGCCUCCAUGUGUUUCCACCUGAAUCGUGGGGCCUUAUUCUGCUCUCCGUCCCAGACUUCCAAGUCGGGGGGUGGAGAACCGCUCUGACUUUUAAAGACAGGUGUAAAGAAGACACUGAGACCUCAAUCUUUCCCUUAUCCUCAGCAGUCAGUUCUCCACCCCAUCCGGUAAAGGAUGAAAUCCUCCUUAUCCCUCCUCUUAUUGUUAACGUAUUUGUAAGAAGGUUUUUUUGUUCUCUUUUCCUACAGUGGCCACGUUGAGUUCAUGUUGGGCUUUCGUCUUUCUAAUUUUCUCCCCGCAUGAUCCUGACCACUUCUGUGUGCUCCCCCUGAGUCGCCUGUCCCUUCUUCUACAGGAAGCAAACUCUUCUCUCCCAGAGCCUCAGCAAAAGUUCCCUGCUCUUCUCUGCUGGCUCAUUUUACAGCACAGGGGAACAGCCUGCUCCUAGGCCUCUGAGACUGCGGGAAUACAGGAAAACCUGUUCAGAGCAGCAGCUGUGGAGCAAGAUAAACAGCAUGAGAACCAAGGACACCUCUAGAAGAAGAAAGAACGGCUCACGGCUCUGAAUGGAUAAGCACCUGCAUGAACGGUUGAAGAGUGCUUUGUAGAAUGCUCUGCUGGCAUGUAAAGCUGGAUGGGAAAUUGUAGGGUGGAUGGGCAAGCUAGAAAAGAAAACUUGUGAAGGUAUGCAAGUGAUGUGGGAACUUGUAAUAAACGAUUUGGAUCGUUCACAUCUGAGUCCGUGAAUCAGAUGCUGCAUAAGACUUCCUUCUUGAGGAGCAACCAGCCUUCCUGGACCCCCUUGCUCUUCAGAGCUGUAUCCCAAGGGACCCUCCCGACCGGCGUCCUGAACAACUGAGAGCCCGACCCCCGCUCCUGACUCCACCAAGAAUACUGAACUCUACCAUCUCGUGCUCACUCUGCCCUUGACAGCACCCGACCUCCACAUCUCACACCGGUCCUCCUCUGCUUGUGAACAGCAGCUCCAGUGGGGCACCUCCCUGGUGGGCUCUCUUACCAGCUGCGCCAGGAGGCACACAUCUUCCACACACUCUAGAAACCUCCAGGACUGCUGCUUCUGCACUGUACUGUAUCUCCAGCAUAUAUCAGGGAAGUGGAAGUCCGCCAUGAGAACAAGGGCUGGAGAUUGCACGAUUUCUGCCAGCUGCUCCUAGAGCACCUCACCUGUUUCUUCUGGUCUGGAGGAGACCCCCACCAGGACGGCGGCAGUGUCGGCUCUCCCCCUGAUCUUUACCCACAGGGACUCAGCCUGAUCAUUCCCAGCCCCAAGCUCAACAACACUGAAACACUAACAUAGAGAGCCAUGCCACCAUCCCUACUUCGUUGCCGAUCCAUUCCAAAGAGCUUACAGCCCUCCACUGUAGCAGUACACAAGUGGGAGUGAUGGCAACUAAGUCAUAGUUUGCCUGCUGCACAACGGCUUCCGGCUCAUCCUGGUUCUAGCAGACGCUGUGUGCGCUGAUGCGGAUGCACUUCAGUUAAGACAUUGUCACCCCAACUCCAGCAUUCUUCCCUUUCAGACCUAAUGUAAAGCAAGCAUAAAGUACUCUCAAAAAAAGCAUCAGUGAUGACAUGCCUUGAGUACAUUGUUGAGUUCAGGGCCCCUGACUACAAGAAAAACAUGGAGGCCCCACAGUGUGCACGUGGAAGGGCAACGGGGCAGGAAAGGGUCUGGAACAAAAGUCCCAAGAGGAGCGGCAGAACGAACUGGGGUUGUGCAGUCUGGAGGGGGCUCAGGGGAGGCCUCACCACGCCGUAUAACUCCCUGAAGCGAGGAGCGUGCUGUGACGCCUCCCAGCAGCCUGGCAGAGCCAGAGCCAAGGCCUGGGGCUCCUUCCCGUUCCUCUGCCCUCCUCGCAGCACUUCUCACCUUGCCCAUCCCUCCCAUCUUCCUCCAGGUCCUUCUGCUGGGUGCAUCGUCCACAUCAGGCAGUGGAGGCAGCGCCGGUGCAGGACACGACCUGCAUCAUCUGCAUGGACCCCAUGGGGGACAGCGUGUCCUACAGCACCAUGGUGUGCCCAGCCUGCCGACACGCCUGGUUCCACCGGGCUUGCAUCCAGGAACAGGCCAUGAGCGCCGGGUUUCCUUGCUUCCAAUGCCCCAUCUGCAGAGACAGAUACACGUUUAUUAUGGACAUGCGCCUUAUGGGGAUCCGAAUCCCAUUCAG